AGAGUUUGAUCCUGGCUCAGAAUCAACGCUGGCGGCGUGCCUAACACAUGCAAGUCGAGCGAGAAAGGGGCUUCGGCCCUGAGUAAAGCGGCGCACGGGUGAGUAACACGUGGGUAAUCUACCCUAGAGUGGGGAAUAACAUCGGGAAACCGAUGCUAAUACCGCAUACGCUCACGAAGUCUUCGGAUUUUGUGACGAAAGGAGCAAUCCGCUCUUGGAGGAGCCCGCGGCUGAUUAGCUAGUUGGUAAGGUAAUGGCUUACCAAGGCAACGAUCAGUAUCCGGUCUGAGAGGACGGUCGGACACACUGGAACUGAGACACGGCCCAGACUCCUACGGGAGGCAGCAGUGGGGAAUAUUGGACAAUGGGCGCAAGCCUGAUCCGGCCAUGCCGCAUGGGUGAUGAAGGCCCUAGGGUUGUAAAGCCCUUUCGGCGGGGAAGAUAAUGACGGUACCCGCAGAAGAAGCCCCGGCUAACUUCGUGCCAGCAGCCGCGGUAAU
rnacentral:rRNA from 1 species